rnacentral:rRNA from 1 species
UGCAAGUCGAGCGAGACCUUCGGGUCUAGCGGCGGACGGGUGAGUAACGCGUGGGAACGUGCCCUUCUCUGCGGAAUAGCCACUGGAAACGGUGAGUAAUACCGCAUACGCCCUUCGGGGGAAAGAUUUAUCGGAGAAGGAUCGGCCCGCGUUAGAUUAGGUAGUUGGUGGGGUAAUGGCCUACCAAGCCUACGAUCUAUAGCUGGUUUGAGAGGAUGAUCAGCCACACUGGGACUGAGACACGGCCCAGACUCCUACGGGAGGCAGCAGUGGGGAAUCUUAGACAAUGGGGGCAACCCUGAUCUAGCCAUGCCGCGUGAGUGAUGAAGGCCUUAGGGUCGUAAAGCUCUUUCGCUGGGGAAGAUAAUGACUGUACCCAGUAAAGAAACCCCGGCUAACUCCGUGCCAGCAGCCGCGGUAAUACGGAGGGGGUUAGCGUUGUUCGGAAUUACUGGGCGUAAAGCGCGCGUAGGCGGAUCAGAAAGUUGGGGGUGAAAUCCCGGGGCUCAACCUCGGAACUGCCUCCAAAACUCCUGGUCUUGAGUUCGAGAGAGGUGAGUGGAACUCCGAGUGUAGAGGUGAAAUUCGUAGAUAUUCGGAAGAACACCAGUGGCGAAGGCGGCUCACUGGCUCGAUACUGACGCUGAGGA